ensembl:lncRNA MMADHC-DT MMADHC divergent transcript
AUACUUCUCCCCUGGACCUUGUUCCCAGGCUCCGUGUGAAGCUGAACACUCCGCAUGAUCUCCCUGCCACCAUAGCAAGCUAUGAAGUUCAUUACACAUGCAGUUAAAAUAUCUGCAAACAAUCCUUUGUAUCAAGCUCUGCUUUCAGGGAAACCCAGAUUAAAAUAGAGAUACCAAGAGCAACUUCAGAAAGCUAUCAGGAUAGAUUUUGGAAAUGGUAAUAAGGACAAAUUGCUGAUGAUGACUGAGGUAGAUAGACAUCAUUCCUAGCCCACAGUAGCAUCACAAUGACAAAGAAUCUCACUGGAUUUGGGCUGAACUGAGAUCCUGGUGGAAGGAGAAGCAAGGAAUUGCACUGGAGCUGUGGCACUUGGAUGAAAUGGAGCUGACAGUAAUUCUAAAAUUAUGGAGUUGCUUAUUUUUAUUUUCUAGUUUGGAAGCCUUGAAAAAUGAAAAUAAACUCAAUUUAGUCAAUUUUUAACUCAAGAUAUACCUUAAAACCAGAGGCCUUCUAUGGUAAGGAAAACCCUUGUCUCCUACCACUGUGGGGGCAGAUUGUGCCAAAAAGUCUGCAUGCCUGUGAUUUAAUUAAAAGGGUGGAGAAGCUGCAAAGAAGAAUCAGCACAUGAUCUCAAAAGUCACCUAUAUAAAAGACAUCUCUUGCAAGGCAAAGAACAAGACUCUUGGUCCUGACAUGGAGACAUUUAGAUGGACAAGCUGGAGAGUCUUGAAAUCUCAGAUUGCCCAGAAUCCUAAGAGCCCAAUUGAGAAGCACCCUCAUUCUUGCUGUCAGAAUCAUGUUUACCAGUACUGCAAAGACCUCACCUGAGACAUACUCACACAAGAGAACUUUUAUCCUUCCUAAUAUCUACUCCUGCUACUCUAAAUGGCUGAGGCAAGCUAAGAUAAUUUACUUUGCUUUUAGUGGGACACACUUAUGUGAUUAACUGUUCCAUCCAUGAAUAGUUAUGUUACUGCAAAACAUCCUGGCAUAAAAAAUGUUUCCAUGAACACUCUUGCCAUGUGAUCUGUUCAAUCACUAAAAGUCAUGACACAAAAAUGGCAGACUAACAGAGGUUGAACUAGCAUGUGAAAAUGUCUUGUGGUACUGGCACUAUGUGGGUGGCAGAGAAGAUGCAAAUUUGAGAGAUAUCAAAACACAAAUGGAUCUGAUGAAAAUUCUUUCAAAUUUUUAAACUUACAUAUAAAAGAAAUUUGAUAGAGGUUUUCAUGUAUUUGAUAACAAUCCUAAAAAUAACAUAACAUUAUGAAUAAAUUAUAUAACUGAAAGAUAUGUUUCUAAUCUACCACUAAUAAAAGUA